rnacentral:lncRNA from 1 species
CUAGCUUAAAGCCUGACUAUGAUCAUGAUCCAAGAAACUAGAGAAAUCUUAAGAGUUGUUGUGGUUGGCUGCUUUCCAUCUUCUCAGAUAAUUUUACCCAAACAGUGGCGUGAAGGAGAUACACGCCCCCAUCCCAGGAAGAGAAUAAUGAAAGGAGGGAUCAGGCAGAACCUAUUGGAGCACCCACAGACCUCCAGCACCCUGCAGCCAGUUGCAGGCCUCAGGCAGCCAAGGACCUGACUUUAGGCUUUCAGACCAGGGGACCUCCUUUGUGGAGCAGUUGCGUGGAAUUGCUGCCCCAAUCCUGGCCCUUCCUGAACCAACCCACUCGUUUUGUAACUCCAUUUUCCUGUCCAUCGAGCACCCCAGCCCCAUGACGGCCAAGCCAGAUCAGCCUUGUUCAAUUGGCUUGGUUACUUAGCUUUAGACCUUGAGUCCUGCUGGCCGCCUGCUGGGUUCUCCUAUACAGGGCUUAUGUGCAUAUCUGGAUGGGGGCUUCCCAGUGCCCUUUCGCAGCGGCCCUCCGGCCUCUACACUUCCUCCUCUGGGUAGCAGCUCUCCUUGGUCUCCAGCAGCCACUCCAGAGGCUGCAGCUCAGAAAUGCCUAGGUACCAGUGACCAGCCUGCUCCUCAACCUCCCUGGCCAGCUAGUCUUGGUUGCCCUGUUUUCUGAAACGUACCUCCACAUCACAGGCCACUCUUGGCUGCUUGAGCUGCACUGUGAGUAAGUUGUUCUGCUUGCUGUCCUGUGCACAGUCGAUUUCUGUGACGGGGAAGGCCUGCUGCUGUGUGUCCUCACUGACACUCACCACGAAGAGCACUUCUGAUGUCAGCAGCAAGCACCCUUCAUGCUCCUGGCCUGAGCCCCUCACCAGAACCACGUCCAGGGCCAUGUGGACUUCUGGUCUGCCCAGAGACUGAAGCAUUUUCCUGUUUAAAAGGAGAAAAGUGAGGCCAGGGGCCAGCUGUGAAAAGAUGGUCACUUAUCAGUGCUCAUUAUUUACCAAUGGGGCAACCUCCACAAGGGCAAAGGGCCCUCACCAAUCCAGUUACCCAUUUUAGCUUGAAAUGUAAUUGUCAGUUCUCAGACUGAUUCUGAUUAACAGAACCUGCUUCCUCCUGGGAACAAAGAUUUCCCUUGGUUUUGCUUAUUAGCUCCUUUUCUCCCCAUUAGAAAUAGCACCUCUAAUUAGAGUGCUGGUUCCACAGGGAAUCUCAGGCCCUCUAGCAAGACUGGGUUUCUCUGCCAAUGUAUGACCUUCCUUGAGUGGUUAGGUACGGAACAGAGGAGUUGUGCAGCCAGCCCCAAACCUGGCAACAGCAGCCUCUUCCUGUCCCUCUACAGUGCUCUUGUGCUGCCUGAGAUGCCAGUGCCAACAAUGGCUACUCCUGGGCUCCCUGGAAGCAUGGCCCAUUAGCUUGAGAGCAAGCCAGGAGCUAUUAACAUACAAUAUGGAUGUAAAGUUGAGCACGUAUCUCAAUAAUUUUACCAGACAUAUUUGACAUGGCUGUUUGGAGCCUGGUCAGCAUGUAGAUCACUUGGCUGAUGGCGCUGUUUGGGAAGCUGAGAAAGUCCAGCUCCAUGUAAAAUACCUGUGGUAAGAGAAGUAAGGGAGUUUUACUACUUGUUUUCUGGAAAACAGUUUCAUGCUGCAAUGAUGUCAUCUGUUCAGAGCCAUCCAUAAAAUGUUACAGAUCCAAAAUGAUGUCACAUCUUUGGAAGCAAG